UACGUAGGGUGCAAGCGUUAAUCGGGAUUACUGGGCGUAAAGCGUGCGCAGGCGGUGAUGUAAGACAGAUGUGAAAUCCCCGGGCUCAACCUGGGAACUGCAUUUGUGACUGCAUCGCUGGAGUGCGGCAGAGGGGGAUGGAAUUCCGCGUGUAGCAGUGAAAUGCGUAGAUAUGCGGAGGAACACCGAUGGCGAAGGCAAUCCCCUGGGCCUGCACUGACGCUCAUGCACGAAAGCGUGGGGAGCAAACAGG
rnacentral:rRNA from 1 species